GGGCCCGCACAAGCGGAGGAACAUGUGGUUUAAUUCGAUGAUACGCGAGGAACCUUACCCGGGCUCGAACGGCUAUAGAAUAAGUAUGAAAGUAUUUAGCCAGCAAUGGCUGUAGUCGAGGUGCUGCAUGGUUGUCGUCAGCUCGUGCCGUGAGGUGUCGGCUUAAGUGCCAUAACGAGCGCAACCCUUAUCUUUAGUUACCAUCAGGUAGAGCUGGGGACUCUAGAGAGACUGCCACCGUAAGGUGCGAGGAAGGUGGGGAUGACGUCAAAUCAGCACGGCCCUUACGUCCGGGGCUACACACGUGUUACAAUGGAUGGGACAGAAGGCAGCUACCGGGCGACCGGAUGCUAAUCCCCAAACCCAUUCCCAGUUCGGAUUGGAGUCUGCAACUCGACUCCCAUGAAGCUGGAUUCGCUAGUAAUCGCGCAUCAGCCAUGGCG
rnacentral:rRNA from 1 species